CGAUUUCUAUACAAAAAAAAGAAAGAGGAAACAAGGUCCAAAAUUUUCUUAAGAAGAGAAUGGCUGCGACGGCGUUUUCCAAGACGAGUGCAAGCUCCAACCUUUACCUCCAUCGCUUCCAUCAAAACCACUCUCACCUUCCGUCUCCGUCUAUUCCUCCGCCGUCUCGACUUCAUCCUCAAACCCUUUUCCUCGCCGCGACUCCUCACCGCAUACGAUGCAUCGCCGUCGCUUCUCUCCGUCCUCCAACUCCACCCACUCCCGAUCCUCCUCCGCCUCGAAACACGACUGAUCUCGCAAAUCUUGUGGAAGUAGCGUCGAUGAUUCAUGACCGUGUAAAGAUCUUUCUUGCACUACUAAUUUGGAUCUCUCUGUUCUUCUGGGCCUCGGCAUUACAAGGAAGAGGCAGAGGAAAGGGUAAAGGGAAGAAGAAAGGUUCGCGUUUCAAAUAGUAUAAUUUGGAUGAUGAUUGAUGAAGACUCAUCUAUACACAUGUGUGUGUGUAUAUAUUUGUCCAGAGGAAUUACCUUUGGGAAUCAUUUACCAAGAAAAAGGAAAAGCCACCAGUGAUCGUUUUCUCUCGCUGAGAAGAAGAGCACGAAGAAGCUGCGUGAGGUUGAUAUUAGGGUUUCGAGAGCUGAAAAUCGCCAUGGGUGUCGAUCCAUCCAAAACCUCGGACGG